rnacentral:rRNA from 1 species
UUCGAUUGCCUGAUGCAGCGACGCCGCGUGAGGGAUGACGGCCUUCGGGUUGUAAACCUCUUGGUGUAGGGAAGAAGCGAAAUUUCGGUACCUGUUAGAAGAAUAAGCCGGCUAGGGACGUGCCAUUAGCCGCGGUAAUACGUAGGAUCGCAAGCGUAAUCCGGAAUUAUUGGGCGUAAAGAGCUCGUGGGGCGGUUUGUCGCGUCUGUAGUGAAAGCCGGGGCUCAACUCCGGAUCUGCGGUGGAAUACGGGCAGACUAGAGUGAUGGGAGGGGAGACAAGGAAUUCCUUAGUAGCAAUUGAAAUGCGCUUAUAUCAGGUUGAACACCGUGUGGCGAAGCAGGUCUCUGUGGUUAACAAUACGCUGAGGGCGAAAGGAUGGGGAGCGAACAGGAUUAGUACCCUGGUUGUUCCAUGUUGUAAACGUUGUUCACUAGGUAUGGGGGACAUUCCACGUUCCGCGCCGUGCUAACGCAGGAAGUGCCCUACUGGGGAUAACGGCCGCAAGGCUAAAUCAAAGGAAGGAAGACGGGUACCGCACAAUUCGGCGUA